AUUGAACGCUGGCGGCAUGCUUUACACAUGCAAGUCGAACGGUAACAGGGAGCUUGCUCCGCCGACGAGUGGCGAACGGGUGAGUAAUGCGUCGGAACGUGCCGAGUAGUGGGGGAUAACGCAUCGAAAGGUGUGCUAAUACCGCAUACGUACUGAGGUAGAAAGUGGGGGACCUUCGGGCCUCACGCUAUUCGAGCGGCCGACGUCUGAUUAGCUAGUUGGUGAGGUAAAGGCUCACCAAGGCGACGAUCAGUAGCGGGUCUGAGAGGAUGAUCCGCCACACUGGAACUGAGACACGGCCCAGACUCCUACGGGAGGCAGCAGUGGGGAAUUUUGGACAAUGGGCGCAAGCCUGAUCCAGCCAUGCCGCGUGUCUGAAGAAGGCCUUCGGGUUGUAAAGGACUUUUGUCCGGGAGCAAAUGCUGGUGGCUAACAUCCACCGGAGCUGAGAGUACCGGAAGAAUAAGCACCGGCUAACUACGUGCCAGCCGCCGCCGUAACAC
rnacentral:rRNA from 1 species